rnacentral:rRNA from 1 species
GACGAACGCUGGCGGCGUGCUUAACACAUGCAAGUCGAACGGACAGGCCCUGCGUUUGUUUGUUUCUCGAUUGGCGAACGGGUGAGUAACACGUGAGUAACCUGCCCUUGACUUUGUGAUAACUUUAGGAAACUGGGGCUAAUACCGGAUAUGAUCUCCUGCUGCAUGUUGUGGGUUGGAAAGUUUCGGCGGUUGGGGAUGGACUCGCUGCUUAUCAGCUUGUUUGUGGGGUAGUUGCUUACCAAGGCUUUGACGGCUAGCCGGCCUGAGAGGGUGAACGGACACCUUGGGACUGAGAUACGGCCCAGAAUGCUACCGGCGGCAGCAGUGGGGAAUCUUGCACAAUGGGCGGACGUCUGAUGCAGAAACGCCGCGUGCGGGAUGAUGGCCUACGGGUUGUAAACAGCUUUCGAAUGUGACGAAGACUGCGUGACGGUAAUGGGUCAAGAAGCAACGGCUAACUACGUG